rnacentral:rRNA from 1 species
ACGAACGCUGGCGGCGUGCUUAACACAUGCAAGUCGAACGGAAAGGCCCUUCGGGGUACUCGAGUGGCGAACGGGUGAGUAACACGUGGGUGAUCUGCCCUGCACUUUGGGAUAAGCCUGGGAAACUGGGUCUAAUACCGAAUAGGACCGCGCGCUUCAUGGUGUGUGGUGGAAAGCUUUUGCGGUGUGGGAUGGGCCCGCGGCCUAUCAGCUUGUUGGUGGGGUAAUGGCCUACCAAGGCGACGACGGGUAGCCGGCCUGAGAGGGUGACCGGCCACACUGGGACUGAGAUACGGCCCAGACUCCUACGGGAGGCAGCAGUGGGGAAUAUUGCACAAUGGGCGCAAGCCUGAUGCAGCGACGCCGCGUGAGGGAUGACGGCCUUCGGGUUGUAAACCUCUUUCACCAGGGACGAAGCGCAAGUGACGGUACCUGGAGAAGAAGCACCGGCCAACUACGUG